ensembl:rRNA 5S_rRNA 5S ribosomal RNA
GCCUACGACCAUAUCACCCUGAAUACGCCCGAUCUCGUCCGAUCUCGGAAGCUAAGCCAGGGUCGAGCCUGGUUAGUACUUGGAUGGGAGACCGCCUGGGAAUACCAGGUGUUGUAGGCU